CUCCCGCCGGCGACCGGCGCACGGGUGAGUAACACGUAUGAAACCUGCCCGUAGCAGGGGGAUAAGCGGAAGAAAUUCCGUCUAAUACCGCGUAACAACCCGAGGAGGCAUCUCCUCGGGUUUAAAGGAAGCGAUUCCGGCUACGGAUGGUCAUGCGUCGCAUUAGCUAGUUGGCGGGGUAACGGACCACCAAGACGACGAUGCGUAGGGGUUCUGAGAGGAAGGUCCCCCACACUGGUACUGAGACACGGACCAGACUCCUACGGAAGGCAGCAG
rnacentral:rRNA from 1 species